UGGCCGUGCCAGGAAACAAAAGCUGCUAGAGAGCGGGAGAGUCGGCUUCCAGUUUUACCCCUAAUUGUUUUUGAGAUUUCAUAUGUAGAUAUAUAUAUAUAUAGUGCAAGUGGCAGUGAUGCGAGGAAGCUAUGCCUCCAGCUGGAGCAGCUGGCGACAGAUGCCCCUCCAUCACCCGUCUGCGCCAGCUGAAUGUAUAGCCCCGUGCUCAGCGGUAAAGUUGCCAGAAUAUUCAGAGAUAGGAGAACUUCUUCCCGCUUCCCCCCAUUUUCUUCUCAGACGACACAUAAAAGAUGCAACCCCCCCCCCAAAGUAUCCACUUGAUUUCUGUCAUGAUUUGACAACGCAUAGCAAAGUAAAUGGAAUUUAAAGUGGCAUACAUGCUCUGUGAAAGAGAUUGCACAGAUACUAGUUGGCUUAAACACAGAUUAUUCUCUCAGACCAUUGCAAAAUCUCUGUGAAGCAAUCCUGCCUGCCUGGAAUAAUAUGAGGGAUUUAAAAUAUCAUCAUCCUCAUCAUCCUCAUCCACCACCACCACCACCACCACCACAACAACAACAACAACAACAGGAACAACAACAUGAGAUGUCUUUCUAAUUCAAUUCAUUUUUGGAUACCAUAGCAACUGUGGAGUAGCUGAUGUUGAUGGGAAAUAUGCUCAGGAAAGGUGGAAAUUUGCUGUCUUUCUUGAGUUGCUCCAACUGAAAUAUGUAGCUUUUUUCUCUUGAAUGAGAGGUAAGUGCAAAUUCAGGUGUGCAAACGGCAUGGAAUCCAAAAGGAAAUCUGGUAUCAUUCAAUAGAAAUUAUAUGUUCAUAAGAUGGCUCUAUUAAGAAAUUACAAAUUAUUAUUUAUUAAUUUUUAUUUAAUUAUUAGUUUUUAUUAUUGCUAUUUAAAUAUUUGCCAGUUUAGUUCCAAAAAAGCUUUGUAAGGAAAUAGGUUCCAUUUAUUUGCAUAUAACAACAACAGUAUCAUAAUUCUACACCAGUAACAUAGCCAUUACUUUAUUUUUAUAACAGGUACAACAUAAAUACCAUUUCUAAAAGUGAUCUUGUGAGUGAAAAUAUAAUGUAAGAAAACUGGGUAUUAUUUUCUUCAUGUUCUUCCCCAACCUUUGUGACUUGGUGGUAUGACUAGAGGGGAGAGAGGGAAACCGGGCUGUAUGAGUGAUGGGUUGACACGCAUGCACAUGCACACACAACUCGACUACAACAUAGCUAUGUGUGUGUGUUGGCCUGCAGCCUGGUUGCAAAUAGGCCAUGGCCUGGUAGUGGGCUGUGGCCCAGGUGUUGGGGACUCCUGGUGUAGAUUAUGCAAUAUCUCAUGAAGAAUAUGAAUUUAAGAUUUGUAUUUUUCUGUUUAACUUAGGCACCGUGACUUACAAUGAAUCUUCAAAAACAGAUGAGCAAGAUACUUGUGGAAGAGCAAGUAGUAAGAAGAAAGCCCAGCACUGCAAAAUCACACAAAAUACUCUCCUAGCAAAGGUUCAGGAUGAAAAGGGCAGUUUCUGUUCCAAACUUAAAUUUGAAAUUCAAGUGAAAUGGAUCUAGAAAAUAAUUUUCAUCCAAGAAUGAUGGAAUUGGUGAGUGACAACCUGCUUAAACAUUUGUUUCUGGAGGGAAUGCCCAACCGGCCUAUUUGUUCUGGCCUGAUUUUUGGGCCAGGGAAGAUGGUAAAGGAUUGGUGAAGAGCAUGGCAGCGACCAAUAUCUUCUCUUGUUCUGUGGUAGAGCCGAGAAGAUGAUGUGUCACCAAAGACCUCAUUGGCUAUCUCGAUGGAUGGUAUCUACGCUGCUAUUCUCUGGCAUUGAAACAGGGAUCCAGUACUUGUAUUUGCAGCCCAAAAGCAGUUCUGUCUUCUAGGUUGGAACUUUCUCCCUUCACCCCAAAGAAUGACAUUUUUACAGGUGCCAGAAUGACUUUCUCCUCAAGGAAGAAUUUAUAAAUGCCUGAGCAGAACUAGGCAAUUCCUCUGCAGUAUAACAAAUUAAGACAGACGAAGUUCAAGUAAGCAGAUGGCUGUCUGAAUCUCUCCAACUAAUCUGUGUGAUCAUCCCAGUCCCUGUGAUUGUUAUAAACCAUUCUAAUAGUUAAGCAGGAUAAAAAUUGAGGGGUAUGUUGAUAUACCCUUGUAUUUAAUUACAUUAAACCUUGUGUGUUACUUUAACAAACUUCAAUCUUUUACAUGGGAGGGAUUUAGUGAGGCUUAAUUUUUAGUACAUCUGCACAGAAUAGCAGUUGCCAGUCAUCCAGUUUGAAGAGAUCUCUUCAGUGCCUUUGGCAGUCUGCCUUGGUUCUCAUCAGAAAUCUUGGCUCCCUCACUGUUCACUCUUAAUUUUAGAAUUUAAUUUACACAAUUGAAGAUAUCCUUGGGAAUUCCAUUUCUUCCUGAUUGUUAUCUUAUGUGUCAAUGUACUCCCAUUAUUAGUGAUUUAUUUGGUGAACCACACUUAAACAAACCACGGGCUAGUGUGAUAUGGUAGGCAUUAACUGCUUGGUUUUCUGAAAACAUUUUUAUAAUGUCCUUUCACCAAUAACUCCAGUGUAAACCUAGAAAAAACUAGAUAAGAGGAUGUAGAGCAAAGACAUCAUUAAAAAGCUUUUUUAAAAAAUCCAAAUAUAUGUUGUGGGUUCAUACACACCAGGACAUGAUUUCUUGGACAUGGUUCCCUGAAAAACACAAUUAGCUUAAUUGACAUGGUAGACUGAUACACUGUUUACACAUCAUGUUAUCUAACUUAAAAAGCCAUACUAAACUAGCCAUAUUAGCAAAUUUUGGAAUCCCAGACAAGAUGAACCAAACUAGAUAUAUUUUGUUUCUUUAUAUUUUCUAAAAAAAAAAAAAAAAGUCCUGUGAGACAAAUAAGUCUUCAUUUUUCAAAACAAAACAAUUUUUUCAUCCAACCUAUUUCAGAACUUUAUUAAUAAUGCUUUUCAUCAAUAUACCAGAAUAUACAAUAUACAGAACAACUGUGUGUGUGUUUUUUAAAAUAUAUCUCUCCCUUGGCUUUUCUUAAAAAAAUCAAAUCAGUAUUGUAAUGGCUACUUUCCAAUUCUCACACAAAGGUGCCAAUUUCAUGGCUAAGAUGCAUAUUUCUGUUAGAAGUUCAGCAGUUUCAAAUUAAUUUAAGAAUGUUUAGGUGGAUGUCAUACAGAUUUCAUGAAUAGUUAUUUUUUAAAUUUUGUUUUUAUGAAUUAGUCAAUAUUUUCUAUAUCUGUUUCAGAGUUGGUUCAGCUGCAGUACAGCUUCCUCCAUAGCCAAUUUCCUGCUUCUAAUGUAUUUUUUAAAAAUAAUAACUUACUGCUAUUGUUACUGCUUUUUGCAAUAUGUCUCAAUACAUUUUUUACCUGCCUUAUUAUCAAUUUAUAUUUAUUUUGCUGGAGUGUGUAUUCAAUGUUCUUUUUCUGAUUUGGACAAUUUCUGAAGGAACUCUUUUUGAAGCUGGUUGUUUUCCUGCUGACAUUUUCUUUCCUAAUCUAAUGUACAUUCUAAAUAGUUGAGCUUUUAUUGUAAUAUUAAACUUUUUCCUCGUUUGUCCGUUUUUUAAAAUUUUUUUAAAAUUAAUCCCGUAAUACUUUAAAACCAUUUUCUUUUGAAGUCAGUUAUGACUUGUCAGAUGUUAUUGCCAGUAUUCCAAAAAAACACAUAUAUGUUAUUCCAACCACUUUAUUCAUUUGUUUGCUUGCUCAUUCUUUCAUUUCAUUCCAUUUAUAUUCUGCCACAAUCAAUAAGAUUCUUGGUAAUUUACAAAAUUACCAAGGCAAAAUCUAAAAUAUUACCCCACUAAGUUAUAUAGAAAAAAAGUCCACAAUGAAUUCCUCAGAAUAAUAAAAUCAUGAUGAGUAAUCACUUUCACAAAUGAAAAAAAAUGUGAAAUAAAUGAAUGAAAAUGUAAUCACGUUCAUUAUACUCAUUCAUGUUAACUCUACAACAGGCAUUGAUAGUGUCAUUUUCAACUGCAAAUAUUCUGCAGGAGAAUUCAGUUUUUAACAUUUUUUUCUAAAUGAAACCAGGAAGGGAGGCACUCUGAUUUCAACCAGAAGAUAAAAUAGUGGAGAUAUUUAAAAUAUUUAGAAAUGUUGCCAUUGUUAUGACAUAAAUAUGCAUUUGCCCGAUCUAUGUGAGACUAACUCAAGUCACUUAUUUUUCUGAGAUUUCCUCCUUUGGAUGUCUUCCUAUUCCUGAAUUUCAAGAUCAGACUCAACAUUUUGCUGAUGGAGAAAACAGUACCGUUAAAUCACUAGCAAUCUGCAUGCCUAAAAUCAUUUACCAUUAAAACUAAUGCUAAAUUUCCUGUUUUGAUAUGGUUUUUGAAAGUUACUAUGUCUUGCUUGUGUCACUGUUGCACUAGAAAGCUACGAUAGUGAUUCUUUGACCCUAUAAGCAGCACAAACAGUAUAUGGUGUUUGUGUGCUAAAAAUUGUCUGAAAGCAAGCAAUGAAAUUCAAUAAGGUCUCCUUAUGAUCAGUAUUUGGAUGGGAAAGUACCUGAACUAUUCUAAGCUUAUUAGAGAGAAUCUAAUAAUAACAAAUGUAUGAUUAUACAAUAGAUAUAGCUGCACCCACCCACCCACUCACAUGUUCAACAAUCACUGAAUGCAAACUACGGCCUAUGUAGAUUGUAUAACAUUUUACAAUUCAGGGAACAUGUCAAGGAUUUGAUGUUUAAACAUGCUCAAAGAAGGAAGUCCUGGACUUUGCAGGAUGAUAGAAAAUCUGUAAUACUUUGCCUAUUGAGUUGGCUGUCUACACAAUGCAAAAGUCUUUUAAU